rnacentral:rRNA from 1 species
AUUGAACGCUGGCGGCAUGCCUUACACAUGCAAGUCGAACGGCAGCACGGGAGCAAUCCUGGUGGCGAGUGGCGAACGGGUGAGUAAUAUAUCGGAACGUGCCCAAUCGUGGGGGAUAACGCAGCGAAAGCUGUGCUAAUACCGCAUAAGAUCUACGGAUGAAAGCGGGGGAUCGCAAGACCUCGCGCGAGUGGAGCGGCCGAUAUCAGAUUAGGUAGUUGGUGAGGUAAAGGCUCACCAAGCCGAUGAUCUGUAGCUGGUCUGAGAGGACGACCAGCCACACUGGAACUGAGACACGGUCCAGACUCCUACGGGAGGCAGCAGUGGGGAAUUUUGGACAAUGGGCGCAAGCCUGAUCCAGCAAUGCCGCGUGCAGGAUGAAGGCCUUCGGGUUGUAAACUGCUUUUGUACGGAACGAAAAAGUUCUCUCUAAUACAGGGGGCCCAUGACGGUACCGUAAGAAUAAGCACCGGCUAACUACGUGCCAGCAGCCGCGGUAAUACGUAGGGUGCAAGCGUUAAUCGGAAUUACUGGGCGUAAAGCGUGCGCAGGCGGUUAUGUAAGUCAGAUGUGAAAUCCCCGGGCUCAACCUGGGACCUGCAUUUGANACUGCAUAGCUGGAGUGCGGCANAGGGGGAUGGAAUUCCGCGUGUAGCAGUGAAAUGC